rnacentral:rRNA from 1 species
GACGAACGCUGGCGGCGUGCUUAACACAUGCAAGUCGAACGGAAAGGCCCUGCUUUUGUGGGGUGCUCGAGUGGCGAAGGGGUGAGUAACACGUGUGUAACCUGCCCUUGACUUUGGGAUAACUUCAGGAAACUGGGGCUAAUACCGGAUAGGAGCUCCUGCUGCAUGGUGGGGGUUGGAAAGUUUCGGCGGUUGGGGAUGGACUCGCGGCUUAUCAGCUUGUUGGUGGGGUAGUGGCUUACCAAGGCUUUGACGGGUAGCCGGCCUGGGAGGGUGACCGGCCACAUUGGGACUGCGGUACGGCCCAGACUCCUACGGGAGGCAGCAGUGGGGAAUAUUGCACAAUGGGCGGAAGCCUGAUGCAGCGACGCCGCGUGCGGGAUGACGGCCUUCGGGUUGUAAACCGCUUUCGCCUGUGACGAAGCGUGAGUGACGGUAAUGGGUAAAGAAGCACCGGCUAACUACGUG